rnacentral:rRNA from 1 species
CAGUUUGAUCCUGGCUCACAACGAACACUGGCGGCAUGCCUAACACAUGCAAGUCGAACGAUGCUUUCGGGCAUAGUGGCGCACGGGUGCGUAACGCGUGGGAAUCUGCCCUUUGGUUCGGAAUAACCGUUGGGAACGACGGCUAAUACCGGAUGAUGACGUGAGUCCAAAGAUUUAUCGCCAGAGGAUGAGCCCGCGUGAGAUUAGGUAGUUGGUGGGGUAAAGGCCUACCAAGCCGACGAUCUCUAGCUGGUCUGAGAGGAUGAUCAGCCACACUGGGACUGAUACACGGCCCACACUCCUACGGGAGGCAGCAGUGGGGAAUAUUGGACAAUGGGCGCAAGCCUGAUCCAGCAAUGCCGCGUGAGUGAUGAAGGCCUUAGGGUUGUAAAGCUCUUUUACCCGGGAUGAUAAUGACAGUACCGGGAGAAUAAGCCCCGGCUAACUCCGUGCCAGCAGCCGCGGUAAUACGGAGGGGGCUAGCGUUGUUCGGAAUUACUGGGCGUAAAGCGCACGUAGGCGGCUUUGUAAGUUAGGGGUGAAAGCCUGGAGCUCAACUCCAGAAUUGCCUUUAAGACUGCAUCGCUUGAAUCCGGGAGAGGUGAGUGGAAUUCCGAGUGUAGAGGUGAAAUUCGUAGAUAUUCGGAAGAACACCAGUGGCGAAGGCGGCUCACUGGACCGGUAUUGACGCUGAUGUGCGAAAGCGUGCGGAGCAAACAGGAUUAGAUACCCUGGUAGUCC